AAUAAACGCUGGCGGCGUGCCUAACACAUGCAAGUCGAGCGAGAAAGCUCCUUCGGGAGUUAGUAAAGCGGCGAACGGGUGAGCAACACGUGAGAAUCUACCCUUUAGUGAAGAAUACCCUCGAGAAAUCGAGGCUAAUACUGCAUACGUCCCUUCGGGGAGAAAGAUGGCCUCUUUGCUAUCGCUAAAGGAUGAGCUUGCGUACUAUUAGCUAGUUGGCGGGGUAAAGGCCCACCAAGGCAAUGAUGGUUAACCGGCCUGAGAGGGUGUACGGUCACACUGGAACUUAGACACGGUCCAGACUCCUACGGGAGGCAGCAGUGAGGAAUCUUGCGCAAUGGGCGAAAGCCUGACGCAGCGACGCCGCGUGGAGGAUGACGGUUUUCGGAUUGUAAACUCCUGUUAAGCGGGAAGAAAGCCUUGUUUCUAAUACAAGCAAGGUAUGACGGUACCGCUAGAGAAAGCACCGGCUAACUUCGUGCCAGCAGCCGCGGUAAUGUGCGCG
rnacentral:rRNA from 1 species